rnacentral:sRNA from 1 species
GGUCGCAGGUUCGAAUCCUGCACGACCCACCAAUAUACAAGGUGGUAACUGGUAGAGAACGUGAAGGAUAAUGUUGCUUUAGCAACGGCCCGAAGGGCGAGGCAAAGCCGAGUCAUCCUGCACGACCCACCA